AUUGAACGCUGGCGGCAGGCUUAACACAUGCAAGUCGAGCGGGGGAAGGUAGCUUGCUACCGGACCUAGCGGCGGACGGGUGAGUAAUGCUUAGGAAUCUGCCUAUUAGUGGGGGACAACAUCUCGAAAGGGAAGCUAAUACCGCAUACGUCCUACGGGAGAUAGCAGGGGAUCUUCGGACCUUGCGCUCAUAGAUGAGCCUAGGUCGGAUUAGCUAGUUGGUGGGGUAAAGGCCUACCAAGGCGACGAUCUGUAGCGGGUCUGAGAGGAUGAUCCGCCACACUGGGACUGAGACACGGCCCAGACUCCUACGGGAGGCAGCAGUGGGGAAUAUUGGACAAUGGGGGGAACCCUGAUCCAGCCAUGCCGCGUGUGUGAAGAAGGCCUUAUGGUUGUAAAGCACUUUAAGCGAGGAGGAGGCUACUCUAGUUAAUACCUAGGGAUAGUGGACGUUACUCGCAGAAUAAGCACCGGCUAACUCUGUGCCAGCCGCCGCCGUAA
rnacentral:rRNA from 1 species